rnacentral:rRNA from 1 species
CAGUCGCCGCGGUAAUACGUAGGUGGCAAGCGUUGUCCGGAAUUACUGGGUGUAAAGGGAGCGUAGACGGUUAAACAAGUCUGAAGUGAAAUGCCGGGGCUCAACCCCGGAGCUGCUUUGGGAACUGUAGAACUGGAGUGUCGGAGGGGUAAGCGGAAUUCCCAGUGUAGCGGUGAAAUGCGUAGAUAUUGGGAGGAACACCGGCGGCGAAGGCGGCUUACUGGACGACAACUGACGUUGAGGCUCGAAGGCGUGGGUAGCAAACAGGAUUAGAUACCCCAGUAGUCCCUGUCUCUUAUAC